CGGCGGCAGGGCCCGCUCGCGGCGCCGGACCGCGGCUUACGCUGCGCCGUUUGCGCAGCGCCCCGAGCGCCCCGCGGCGGAGCGAGCGUAGCGCGCUUGAAUAUUCGGGGUUGGAAGGGGCCUCUGGAAACCACGCAGUGCAACCAGGGUCACCCGAAGCAGCAAAUACAACUGCUGUUCGUGACAAACACAUGAUUUACAAAAUGAAGAAUAAAGAAUUGUGUCAGCUAGAGAGAGAGAGAGAGAAGGAAGAUGAAACAAGUACAGGAAUACACAGGAGGGAAACAGAAGCAGCAAGAACAUUGCGUUCAUCAGCCACAGACACAAAUUAGCUUGGGAAAGAGAUCUGGAAAUUAUAUUAACUACUGCUGUGAAAGCAUCAGGUAAGUGUUCAGUCAUGUGAGCAAAUGAAGCUUUAAAAACAUGAGAGAAGGAGCAGAGAACAAAACUGUGAGAAACUGCACUUAUUUAUAAUU